rnacentral:tRNA from 1 species
GAAUUAUUAAAUGGGAUCAAAAUUAGGUAGUUUUCAUUGAGUUCAAGCCAGCUGAACUUUGAAACAACUUAAUCAACUUAAGCCAAGUAUCAGAAAUCAAAUUUCGUGCUACAAAAGGAUUAGACUUGUUUCUCUCUCUGAGUUCAACUCUCAUAAUUCAAA